rnacentral:rRNA from 1 species
UACGGAGGAUCCAAGCGUUAUCCGGAUUUAUUGGGUUUAAAGGGUGCGUAGGCGGGCCCUUAAGUCAGUGGUGAAAGUUUGCAGCUUAACUGUAAAAUUGCCAUUGAAACUGAGGGUCUUGAGUGUAAAUAAGGUAGGCGGAAUGUGUUGUGUAGCGGUGAAAUGCUUAGAUAUAACACAGAACACCAAUUGCGAAGGCAGCUUACUGGGAUACAACUGACGCUGAGGCACGAAAGCGUGGGGAUCAAACAGG